CCCUGGUGGUUCAAAUGGUAAAGAACCUGCUUGCCAUGCAGGAGACCCAGCUUCAAUCCCUGGGUCAGGAA
rnacentral:tRNA from 1 species